GCGGAGGAAAAGAAACCAACAGGGAUUGCCCCAGUAACGGCGAGUGAAGCGGCAACAGCUCAAAUUUGAAAUCUGGUCCCCCCGCGGGGCCCGAGUUGUAAUUUGAAGAGGAUGCUUCUGGCAAGGUGCCGUCCGAGUUCCCUGGAACGGGACGCCGCAGAGGGUGAGAGCCCCGUACGGUCGGACGCCGAGCCUCUGUGAAGCUCCUUCGACGAGUCGAGUAGUUUGGGAAUGCUGCUCAAAAUGGGAGGUAAACCCCUUCUAAAGCUAAAUACCGGCCAGAGACCGAUAGCGCACAAGUAGAGUGAUCGAAAGAUGAAAAGCACUUUGAAAAGAGAGUUAAAAAGCACGUGAAAUUGUUGAAAGGGAAGCGCUUGCGACCAGACUCGCGCCCGUCGGAUCAGCCGUCGCUCGUCGGCGGCGCACUCCGGCGGGCUCGGGCCAGCAUCAGUUCGCCUCGGGGGGAGAAAGGCGGCAGGAAUGUGGCUCUACGGAGUGUUAUAGCCUGCCGUACAAUACCCCCGGGCGGACUGAGGACCGCGCGUAGCAAGG
rnacentral:rRNA from 1 species